AACAGUAAAGAAUAUUCUUUCUUAUUCUCUAUUUUCCUUUCUCAGGUGUCUAUUUAUAACCUGCAGAGUGACAAAACUACUAGUCAAGAGAAUUUGCAGCCAGAAGACUUUUCUUCCUCAAGAGUCUUCUAAGAAAUUACAGUGUUCUUGAAGCCAGCUUCCUCUUCAGCCACUGGGCAUUCACUUGAAUCACCUGAGGCCUCUUCCAGCCUCCUGAAGCUCCCAUAAAUUAUUGCUCUCUUAUGCUGAUCAUAAUAUAGAAGCCUGCAUCUCUAGUUGUUAAACA
rnacentral:lncRNA from 1 species